UGCAGUUGGAAAAUCAGUUUAUUACUUCUUCUUCGUUUGAGCAAUGAAAUGAAAAAGUUCACACACAGUGCAGAACAAAUGAACACAAAUGGGUUGUACAGUAAUUAUUUUACGUCAUUUACACGUGUGAAUUUGACCUUACAUUUCACCUUAUUAUUCAUAGUCCUGUUGCAUAUCUGUAAAAAAAACAUAACAUUGUCCAUAAAAUGACAACUUAAUUUCAUAACUUGAAAGCAAACAGCUGACUGGAAAGACUAGUUCAAAAACAUCCAAUUUACUUAGUCAUCAUUGCCUUUCAUUCAAAUAAGUGCACAACAUUAUUGAGAGCAUAUGGUCUUUAAAUUAAUGACGGGAAACACUCAUGUACACACACACCUAAACAACCCCUCGAGUCACUCAUUCAAGUUUGAAUAAUUUUUCAAGUAUUUUGCAAUCAAUCUUUCCGCCCUGUCUGAAUAAAUGUGGUCCGUGAGUCAUUCAUAAAUCUAUGGAAGCCUGUUUCCGCCAUUGAAUAAAAAAUAAGAAAAGAUCAUUGUCUUUUUAUCUCACA